rnacentral:rRNA from 1 species
AGCAGCCACCUUUUAAAAAGCGUCAAAGCUUAACCUAAUCCCUCUAAAAUACCAUCAACCUUAAUGAACCCCUAAUUUAUAAUGAAUGACUCCAUAUAAAUAUGGAAGACACCAUGCUGGGAUAAGUAACAAGAAUUAAUAAUUCUCCAAAAUGCAAACAUACACCAACAUGGAUAAACCAUUGGUAAUUACCGAAUCUGAACUUACUGCAACAACACUCACAAGAAAACCAUGCAGUAUUUGCUCGUUAACCUAACACUAGUGCAUUUCAGGAAAGAUUUAAAAAAAGAGAAGGAAUUCGGCAAAUGAAAGCCCCGCCUGUUUACCAAAAACAUCGCCUCUUGAUUUAUGAUAAGAGGUCCAGCCUGCCCAGUGAAUUUUUAACGGCCGCGGUAUCCUAACCGCGCGAAGGUAGCAUAAUCACUUGUUCUUUAAAUGGGGACUCGUAUCAACGGCAUCACGAGGGUUUUACUGUCUCCUCUUUUUGAUCAGUGAAAUUGAUCUUCCCGUGAAGAAGCGGGAAUACUCAUAUAAGACGAGAAGACCCCAUGGAGCUUAAAACCAAAUAGUAACUUAACCACAUAUCUCCUUAUAACUUUAAGCCUGUACUAUGAGGUUUUUGGUUGGGGUGACCGCGGAGUAAAACAUAUCCUCCACGACGGAAAGACUACAAUCUUUAUUUAAGAACCACAAUUCUAAAAAUUAGUAUACUAACGUUUACUGACCCGAUAAUCGAUCAACGGAACAAGUUACCCUGGGGAUAACAGCGCAAUCUACUUCAAGAGCCCAUAUCGACAAGUAGGCUUACGACCUCGAUGUUGGAUCAGGGUAUCCCAGUGGUGCAGCCAUUACUGAAGGUUCGUUUGUUCAACGAUUAAAACCCUACGUGAUCU